rnacentral:rRNA from 1 species
GAUGAACGCUGGCGGCGUGCCUAAUACAUGCAAGUCGAGCGAACGGACGAGAAGCUUGCUUCGCUGAUGUUAGCGGCGGACGGGUGAGUAACACGUGUAUAACCUACCUAUAAGACUGGGAUAACUUCGGGAAACCGGAGCUAAUACCGGAUAAUAUUUUGAACCGCAUGGUUCAAAAGUGAAAGACGGUCUUGCUGUCACUUAUAGAUGGAUCCGCGCUGCAUUAGCUAGUUGGUAAGGUAACGGCUUACCAAGGCAACGAUGCAUAGCCGACCUGAGAGGGGGGUCGGCGACCCGGGAACUGGGACACGGUCCAGACUACUACGGGAGGCAGCAGUAGGGAAUCGUCCGCAAUGGGCGAAAGCCUGACGGAGCAACGCCGCGUGAGUGAUGAAGGUCUUCGGAUCGUAAAACUCUGUUAUUAGGGAAGAACAUAUGUGUAAGUAACUGUGCACAGCUUGACGGUACCUAAUCAGAAAGCCACGGCUAACUACGUG